rnacentral:rRNA from 1 species
AGAGUUUGAUCCUGGCUCAGGAUGAACGCUAGCGGCAGGCUUAAUACAUGCAAGUCGAGGGGCAGCACAGUGUAGCAAUACAUGGGUGGCGACCGGCAAACGGGUGCGGAACACGUACACAACCUUCCUUCAAAUGGGGAAUAGCCCAGGGAAACUUGGAUUAAUACCCCGUAACAUUAUGAAGUGGCAUCACUUUGUAGUUAUAGCUCCGGCGUUUGAAGAUGGGUGUGCGGCUGAUUAGGUAGUUGGCGGGGUAACGGCCCACCAAGCCUUCGAUCAGUAACUGGUGUGAGAGCACGACCAGUCACACGGGCACUGAGACACGGGCCCGACUCCUACGGGAGGCAGCAGUAAGGAAUAUUGGGCAAUGGACGCAAGUCUGACCCAGCCAUGCCGCGUGGAGGAUGAAGGCCCUCUGGGUUGUAAACUUCUUUUCUCUGGGGCGAAAAACAGGUUUUCUAACUUGCUUGACAGUACCAGAGGAAUAAGCACCGGCUAACUCCGUGCCAGCAGCCGCGGUAAUACGGAGGGUGCAAGCGUUAUCCGGAUUCACUGGGUUUAAAGGGUGCGUAGGUGGGAAGGUAAGUCAGCGGUGAAAUCCCCGAGC